rnacentral:rRNA from 1 species
UUAACCGUAUAGGGGAGCCGGAGGGAAACCGAGUCUUAAUUGGGCGUUAAGUUGCAGGGUAUAGACCCGAAACCCGGUGAUCUAGCCAUGGGCAGGUUGAAGGUUGGGUAACACUAACUGGAGGACCGAACCGACUAAUGUUGAAAAAUUAGCGGAUGACUUGUGGCUGGGGGUGAAAGGCCAAUCAAACCGGGAGAUAGCUGGUUCUCCCCGAAAGCUAUUUAGGUAGCGCCUCGUGAACUCAUCUUCGGGGGUAGAGCACUGUUUCGGCUAGGGGGUCAUCCCGACUUACCAACCCGAUGCAAACUGCGAAUACCGAAGAAUGUUAUCACGGGAGACACACGGCGGGUGCUAACGUCCGUCGUGAAGAGGGAAACAACCCAGACCGCCAGCUAAGGUCCCAAAGUCAUGGUUAAGUGGGAAACGAUGUGGGAAGGCCCAGACAGCCAGGAUGUUGGCUUAGAAGCAGCCAUCAUUUAAAGAAAGCGUAAUAGCUCACUGGUCGAGUCGGCCUGCGCGGAAGAUGUAACGGGGCUAAACCAUGCACCGAAGCUGCGGCAGCGACGCUGAUGCGUUGUUGGGUAGGGGAGCGUUCUGUAAGCCUGUGAAGGUGGCCUGUGAGGGUUGCUGGAGGUAUCAGAAGUGCGAAUGCUGACAUAAGUAACGAUAAAGCGGGUGAAAAGCCCGCUCGCCGGAAGACCAAGGGUUCCUGUCCAACGUUAAUCGGGGCAGGGUGAGUCGACCCCUAAGGCGAGGCCGAAAGGCGUAGUCGAUGGGAAACGGGUUAAUAUUCCCGUACUUGGUGUUACUGCGAAGGGGGGACGGAGAAGGCUAUGUUGGCCGGGCGACGGUUGUCCCGGUUUAAGCGUGUAGGCUGGUUUUCCAGGCAAAUCCGGAAAAUCAAGGCUGAGGCGUGAUGACGAGGC